rnacentral:rRNA from 1 species
AGUAACGCGUGGGUAACCUGCCUCAUACAGGGGGAUAACAGUUAGAAAUGACUGCUAAUACUGCAUAAGACCACAGUACUGCAUGGUACAGUGGUAAAAACUCCGGUGGUAUGAGAUGGACCCGCGUCUGAUUAGGUAGUUGGUGAGGUAACGGCCCACCAAGCCGACGAUCAGUAGCCGACCUGAGAGGGUGACCGGCCACAUUGGGACUGAGACACGGCCCAG